rnacentral:rRNA from 1 species
AGUGAGGAAUAUUGCGCAAUGGAGGCAACUCUGACGCAGCCAUGCCGCGUGCAGGAAGACGGCCUUAUGGGUUGUAAACUGCUUUUAUACGAGAAUAAACCCGACUACGUGUAGUCGGCUGAAGGUAUCGUACGAAUAAGCACCGGCUAACUCCGUGCCAGCAGCCGCGGUAAUACGGAGGGUGCAAGCGUUAUCCGGAUUCAUUGGGUUUAAAGGGUGCGUAGGCGGUCUAAUAAGUCAGUGGUGAAAGCCUCCCGCUCAACGGGAGAACUGCCAUUGAUACUGUUAGACUUGAAUCUAGUUGAAGUGGGCGGAAUAUGUCAUGUAGCGGUGAAAUGCAUAGAUAUGACAUAGAACGCCGAUUGCGAAGGCAGCUCACUAAGCUAGUAUUGACGCUGAGGCACGAAAGCGUGGGUAGCGAACAGGAUUAGAUACCCUGGUAGUCCACGCCGUAAACGAUGGUCACUCGCUGUUGGCGACACAAUGUCAGUGGCUGAGCGAAAGCAUUAAGUGACCCACCUGGGGGAGUACGUUCGCAAGAAUG